CCUGGGUGAAUUUCUUCCCCUUAUGGACUGGAAACUGAUGUCAGAGAAGCAAGCAGAAUGUCCAGAAGUGUUGGCAGAAUUGCACGUGUCCUUAACUGAGCCUAGUUUCCAUGCAUGAGAUCUAAUGGGAUUAUUUGAGUCUCAAAAUAAUGUGGAUAACCUUCCCUGCGGGGCAAGACAGCAUGCAAGAGACAGUGCAUUUCAGCACAUCGGCCCAUGCAAAGUCCUUACCUGCCCACAAACAGGCUUGCUGUCAAAUAUGGAAGAAAGCGGGGAUUUCAUACUUUUAUUCAGCAGAAUUGUGAGGACUAGACUCGUGAGGGUAGAUCUGGGUAUUGUGAAGGUCACAGCACUGUGAUCUUUUGACACUUGAAAAUGGGAAACAGGACUUGAAGAGUGUAAUCUAUUUUAUUUCUUAGUACAUCUGAACUACUUUGAACAAACUUGUCCGAACAAUUUAAGGGAAGUGAGAAG
rnacentral:lncRNA from 1 species